UGGUAGGGGCCCUUUGAGAGGGGGAUCCCCCACACUGGUACUGAGACACGGACCAGACUCCUACGGGAGGCAGCAGUGAGGAAUAUUGGACAAUGGGCGAAAGCCUGAUCCAGCCAUGCCGCGUGCAGGAAGACUGCCCUAUGGGUUGUAAACUGCUUUUGUACGGGAAGAAACACUCCUACGUGUAGGGGCUUGACGGUACCGUAAGAAUAA
rnacentral:rRNA from 1 species